GCCUUCUAAGCAGCUUGACUAUUAAGGGAAUCCAAGGGCUUAUGUAAAUAUCUAGAGUGCCUCUUAGAGUUAAGGGAGGGUAAUGGCUUACACACGGGGUUUGUUUUAAUAUGGGAGAAACUUGAGCAAUGUGUAGCUUGCAGGAAGAGACUGAAAAUAUAGGAGAAUGGGAGAAUAAUUAAUGGAACAAAAAACCUAGAGAGAUGAGAGGUAAUGAAAUCCAGAAAACAAAUAAAAGGAUUCCUCCCUCUUCCACUGAAGAGGCAAAGAUCUGUGAGAAUGCAGACCAUUUUGUUGGUAGGCAUGAGGCCACCAAGGAAUUGCGGACUGUUAGCUUCAAUUUUCUUUGUUUAAUAGCAGGUUGGUCUUUGGUGAAAAUGAGGGGAUGGUUGGUGGAAUGGGAGGUCAGAGAAAGUAUUGAGGAUUCAAAACUAGCUAGGGAUGGGGAGAAGGACCUGCAUGAAGCACUGGAGGAGGGGGCAGUCAACUAAGAUUGGAUUGAACUGGGGUAAGUUUCACCAGGCAGAUGGGAAGGAAGGGCAGUGGGGUUUAAUGGAAGAGAAGACAUCGAGAGUGGCUGAAGUGACUAAACAUAAGAUAGGAAGAGAAAAAUAAUUAAAGAAAAUUAAUUUCUCAUUACAUCUAUAUCCUAAAGUCACUGUUGCAGAGCAUAAGGGUGACAUUUCUUUUAGUCAGACUAAAUUGUAAAUUUUAGGUACCAA
rnacentral:lncRNA from 1 species